rnacentral:rRNA from 1 species
UACGAAGGGUGCAAACGUUGCUCGGAAUCAUUGGGCGUAAAGCGCACGUAGGCGGCUUGCCAAGUCGGACGUGAAAUCCCUCAGCUCAACUGAGGACGUGCAUCCGAAACUGUCGAGCUUGAGUGCUGAAGAGGAUCGCGGAAUUCCCGGUGUAGAGGUGAAAUUCGUAGAUAUCGGGAGGAACACCAGUGGCGAAGGCGGCGAUCUGGGCAGACACUGACGCUGAGGUGCGAAAGCGUGGGGAGCAAACAGG